rnacentral:rRNA from 1 species
AUUGAACGCUGGCGGCAGGCCUAACACAUGCAAGUCGAGCGGAUGAAGGGAGCUUGCUCCUGGAUUCAGCGGCGGACGGGUGAGUAAUGCCUAGGAAUCUGCCUGGUAGUGGGGGAUAACGUCCGGAAACGGGCGCUAAUACCGCAUACGUCCUGAGGGAGAAAGUGGGGGAUCUUCGGACCUCACGCUAUCAGAUGAGCCUAGGUCGGAUUAGCUAGUUGGUGGGGUAAAGGCCUACCAAGGCGACGAUCCGUAACUGGUCUGAGAGGAUGAUCAGUCACACUGGAAGUGAGACACGGUCCAGACUCCUACGGGAGGUAGCAGUGGGGAAUAGUGGACAAUGGGCGAAAGCCUGAUCCAGCCAGGCCGCGUGUGUGAAGAAGGUCUUCGGAUUGUAAAGCACUUUAAGUUGGGAGGAAGGGCAGUAAGUUAAUACCUUGCUGUUUUGACGGUACCAACAGAAUAAGCACCGGCUAACUUCGUG